rnacentral:rRNA from 1 species
AGUGAACGCUGGCGGCGUGCUUAACACAUGCAGGUCGAACGAGAACGGGUUAUAGCUUGCUAUAAUUGUCAGCUAAGUGGCGCACGGGUGAGUAACGUAUAGGUAAUAUGCCUCUUACUAAGGGAUAACAAAUGGAAACGUUUGCUAAUACCUUAUACUCCUUAUUAACAUAAGUUAAUAUGGGAAAGAUUUAUUGGUAAGAGAUUAGCCUGUAUUGUAUCAGUUAGUUGGUGGGGUAAUGGCUUACCAAGACUAUGACACAUAACUGGUUUGAGAGGAUGAUCAGUCACACUGGAACUGAGACACGGUCCAGACUCCUACGGGAGGCAGCAGUAGGGAAUAUUGCACAAUGGACGAAAGUCUGAUGCAGCAACGCCGCGUGGAGGAUGACACAUUUCGGUGCGUAAACUCCUUUUAUAUGAGAAGAUAAUGACGGUAUUAUAUGAAUAAGCACCGGCUAACUCCGUGCCAGCAGCCGCCGUAAGAC